CCUACGGGAGGCAGCAGUAGGGAAUCUUCCACAAUGGACGAAAGUCUGAUGGAGCAACGCCGCGUGUGUGAUGAAGGGUUUCGGCUCGUAAAACACUGUUGUAAGAGAAGAAUGACAUUGAGAGUAACUGUUCAGUGUGUGACGGUAUCUUACCAGAAAGGAACGGCUAAAUACGUGCCAGCAGCCGCGGUAAUACGUAUGUUCCAAGCGUUAUCCGGAUUUAUUUGGCGUAAAGCGAGCGCAGACGGUUGUUGAGGACGGAGGUGAAAGCCCACAGGUGAACGGUGAAGGUGCUUUGGAAACGGGAGAACUUGAGUGCAGUAGAGGAGAGUGGAACUCCAGGUGUAGCGGUGAAAUGCGUAGAUAUAUGGAAGAACACCAGUGGCGAAGGCGGCUCUCUGGACUGUAACUGACGUGGAGGCUCGAAAGUGUGGGUAGCAAACAGGAUUAGAUACCCGAGUAGUC
rnacentral:rRNA from 1 species